GUUGUUUGUUUUAAUAAACACUGGGCAGUUGUAUUAUGAACAUUUGAUAAAUAUAAGUAAGAAGAACAAAAUUUAGAAAUGUCACUUGGUGGUGGUCUUAAUAUUUUAAAAGCUUUAAUAUUAAAAAGACGAAGGCGAUUAGAAGAAAGUAAUGUUUUAGCUUUAGGAAUAGUUUCCAAGAAGCAAUGAUCACAAGACCAAAAUGUUUAAGGAAAUGUCAAUGUACCCAAAGAAGAUAUCUUUUACAAAUAUAUAUAAAAAAUGUCUGACAAAUUAAUCAAACAGUGACAGAGACUUUGAUAUAAAUGUUAUUGUCUAAUUUAUCCAAUUCCUAGUACGAGUAUGGGGUAAUCAAUUAGAUAGUAAAACAUCUGAAGAAAAAAUGAAUAUGUAAAAUGAUUACUUAUACUCAAACAAGGGAAUAUUUGAAAUCGUUUCUAUGGAAGUUAAAAAAUAAAUCGCUUCUCAAAGGCUAGUGACUUAUAUUUACAAAUGAGAAUAGGAAAUUCUACUUGGCUUAUUGGCAUAACUAUGAUUGAUAUUCAUGCACAUACUGGUAAAUAAAAAGUUUUCCAAAAAUGUAGCGCAUACAAUAAACAAUGAAAAACAAAGAAAAUAUAUUCAAGCUAUAAAAAGAUUAAUGACUAAAUACCAAAAA
rnacentral:lncRNA from 1 species